rnacentral:rRNA from 1 species
GACGAACGCUGGCGGCGUGCUUAACACAUGCAAGUCGAACGAAGAGCGACGGAAGCUUGCUUCUAUCAAUCUUAGUGGCGAACGGGUGAGUAACGCGUAAUCAACCUGCCCUUCAGAGGGGGACAACAGUUGGAAACGACUGCUAAUACCGCAUACGAUCUAACCUCGGCAUCGAGGAUAGAUGAAAGGUGGCGUCUACAUGUAAGCUAUCACUGAAGGAGGGGAUUGCGUCUGCUUAGCAGGUUGGAGGGGUAACGGCCCACCAAGGCGAUGAUCAGUGGCCGGGCUGGGAGGAUGGACGGCCACAUUGGGACUGAGGCACGGCCCAGACUCCUACGGGAGGCAGCAGUGGGGAAUCUUUCGCAAUGGAGGAAAGUCUGACGGAGCACCGCCGCGUGAGUGAUGACGGCCUUCGGGUUGUAAAGCUCUGUUAAUCGGGAAGAAAGGCCUUCUUGCGAAUAGUGAGAAGGAUUGACGGUACCGGAAUAGAAAGCCACGGCUAACUACGUG